UCCAACGCCCUGAACUGAGAGCUGAGCCAGGCCUUGUGGAUAGGCAGAGGCUCCCGAGAGCUCUACAUGAGGCACUUUCCCUUCAAGGCCCUGCAUUUCUACCUGACCUGAGCCCCGCCACUGCUGCAGUGCAGAGGGAUUGCUGUGGGCACCCUGGGAGGCAGUAUUCCUAGGGAUGGACAGCCUCCACUUUGAGCUUGGGAGGAUAGGGGCCUCUGUCCAACAGGGCCUGUUCACCUCCAGCUGCCUCCAGGGGGUAGUCCUCAGUUUUGGAAAUGCUGCAUUUUUCUCCCUGCAGACCUGCUUCGGAGCUUCCAUCCAUGCCGGUCAGGCUUCCCAAGAGGUGCUACUUCCCCCCGUAAGGUUUUGUGGCUGCCAGCCUCUCCUGUGAUGGGGCAGGUGUGCAGCCUAGUAACUCUUCAGAGCACCAAGCAGAAUUGCAACCAUCUCAACUGUGCCUGCCUGUCAGGUGAGCUCUCCUCAAGGUCUGCGCAAGCAGCCCGGCUCCCUC
rnacentral:lncRNA from 10 species